UACAGAGGUGGCAAGCGUUGUUCGGAAUUACUGGGCGUAAAGGGCGCGUAGGCGGUCUUGUAAGUCUUGUGUGAAAUCCCUCGGCUCAACUGAGGAACUGCACGGGAUACUGCGAGACUUGAGUUCGGGAGAGGGAAGCGGAAUUCCGGGUGUAGCGGUGAAAUGCGUAGAUAUCUGGAGGAACACCGGUGGCGAAGGCGGCAUCCUGGACCGGCAUUGACGCUGAGGCGCGAAAGCUAGGGGAGCAAACGGG
rnacentral:rRNA from 1 species